rnacentral:rRNA from 1 species
UACAGAGGGGGGCGAGCGUUGUUCGGAAUUACUGGGCGUAAAGGGCGCGUAGGCGGCCCGCUAAGUCGAACGUGAAAUCCCCGGGCUCAACCCGGGAACUGCGUCCGAUACUGGAAGGCUUGAAUCCGGGAGAGGGAUGCGGAAUUCCAGGUGUAGCGGUGAAAUGCGUAGAUAUCUGGAGGAACACCGGUGGCGAAGGCGGCAUCCUGGACCGGUAUUGACGCUGAGGCGCGAAAGCUAGGGGAGCAAACGGG